AGUAACGGCGAGUGAAGCGGCAACAGCUCAAAUUUGAAAUCUGUCUCUUUCAGAGACCGAGUUGUAAUUUGUAGAGGGUGCUUCGGGGUCGGCUCCGGUCUAAGUUCCUUGGAACAGGACGUCACAGAGGGUGAGAAUCCCGUACGUGGCCGGCUGUCUUCCCCAUGUGAAGCCCCUUCGACGAGUCGAGUUGUUUGGGAAUGCAGCUCUAAAUGGGAGGUAUAUUUCUUCUAAAGCUAAAUAUCGGCCGGAGACCGAUAGCGCACAAGUAGAGUGAUCGAAAGAUGAAAAGCACUUUGAAAAGAGAGUCAAAAAGUACGUGAAAUUGUUGAAAGGGAAGCGCUUGCGACCAGACUUGCCCGCAGUUGCUCAACCGGCCUUCUGGCUCGGUGCACUCUUCUGCGGUCAGGCCAGCAUCGGUUCGGGCGGUCGGAUAAAGACCUUGGGAAUGUGGCUUCCCUCGGGGAGUGUUAUAGCCCUUGGUGCAAUGCGGCCAGCCUGGACCGAGGACCGCGCUUCGGCUAGGAUGCUGGCGUAAUGGUCGUAAGCGGCCCGUCUUGAAACACGGACCAAGGAGUCUAACAUCUAUGCGAGUGUUUGGGCGUUAAACCCAUACGCGUAAUGAAAGUGAACGGAGGUGGGAACCUUAGGGUGCACCAUCGACCGAUCCCGAUGUCUUCGGAAGGAUUUGAGUAAGAGCAUAGCUGUUGGGACCCGAAAGAUGGUGAACUAUACGUGAAUAGGGUGAAGCCAGAGGAAACUCUGGUGGAGGCUCGCAGCGGUUCUGACGUGCAAAUCGAUCGUCAAAUUUGGGUAUAGGGGCCUAGUCCUUAACCUUUAAGGGCCACACUACUAAAUUGCGGGGACACCUUUCAUAGCUUAGAGUACCGCGGCCUCAUCGAAAGAUCAGGUGCAGCACCAAAGUUAGCCCUUUGGGUAUGGUAAAAAUUUCUAAGAUUAGGUAACCACGCAGCCAAAUCCUGAGCCCGUGCGGGUUAUGGAUGCAGUUCACAGACUAGAUAGUAGUGGGUGCAGUGUUGACUGCGCUUAAGAUAUAGUCGAACCGCCUCGAAAGGAGGCUCGAGGGGAGAAAGCUUAAUAUGCAAGGGUAUCGUCCACGGGACGUUCUUAUUAGGCCCGAGUCCCCUUGGAGAAGCUAACGUCGGUUUCGACGUGGCUCUCGGGUUGUGCUAGUAGCUGGUUCCUGCCGAAGUUUCCCUCAGGAUAGCAGUAACGUUUUCAGUUUUAUGAGGUAAAGCGAAUGAUUAGAGGCCUUGGGGUUGAAACAACCUUAACCUAUUCUCAAACUUUAAAUAUGUAAGAAGUCCUUGUUACUUAAUUGAACGUGGACAUUUGAAUGCACCGUUACUAGUGGGCCAUUUUUGGUAAGCAGAACUGGCGAUGCGGGAUGAACCGAACGCGAGGUUAAGGUGCCGGAAUGCACGCUCAUCAGACACCACAAAAGGUGUUAGUUCAUCUGGACAGCAGGACGGUGGCCAUGGAAGUCGGAACCCGCUAAGGAGUGUGUAACAACUCACCUGCCGAAUGAACUAGCCCUGAAAAUGGAUGGCGCUCAAGCGUGCUACCCAUACCUCGCCGCCCGGGUAGAUUCGAUGCCCGGGCGAGUAGGCAGGCGUGGAGGUCCGUGACGAAGCC
rnacentral:rRNA from 1 species